rnacentral:rRNA from 1 species
UAGGGAAUAUUGGGCAAUGGGCGGACUNCUGACCCAGCCAUGCCGCGUGCAGGAUGAAGGCGUUAUGCGUUGUAAACUGCUUUUUUAUAGGAAGAAGGAGACCUUGCGAGGUUUGGUGACGGUACUAUAAGAAUAAGCACCGGCUAACUCCGUGCCAGCAGCCGCGGUAAUACGUAGGGUGCAAGCGUUAAUCGGAAUUACUGGGCGUAAAGCGUGCGCAGGCGGUUAUGUAAGACAGAGGUGAAAUCCCCGGGCUCAACCUGGGAACUGCCUUUGUGACUGCAUAGCUUGAGUGCGGCAGAGGGGGAUGGAAUUCCGCGUGUAGCAGUGAAAUGCGUANAUAUGCGGAGGAACACCGAUGGCGAAGGCAAUCCCCUGGGCCUGCACUGACGCUCAUGCACGAAAGCGUGGGGAGCAAACAGGAUUAGAUACCCUGGUAGUCCACGCCCUAAACGAUGUCAACUGGUUGUUGGGAAGGUUCCUUCUCAGUAACGUAGCUAACGCGUGAAGUUGACCGCCUGGGGAGUACGGCCGCAAGGUUG